GGUAUCUGGGAUAGAUCACAGCAGAGUGUAAGGGCAGAGUGCAGCCACUUAUGCAAAGCUGUGCCACGGUCAUCGCCAGCCUGGAGUUGGAAGCUGCUCAGUCAGCAGCAGCCUCCUCCCGUGGCACCGGGAGGCUGCAGCCCGCAGCGUGCUCAGCGAGCCCUGGAGCAGUAGGGAGUACAAGGAUGGACACGGGGAUUUUGCUAUGGCCAAGCAGUAGGGACGGUUGGUGUGAUGCACCUCAUCUGAAGGGACAGGUAGGACGGUGCAGCUUUCCUUAUGUUUUUUUCCCUUCCUACUCACUGCUCUGGGUUCUUCUCUGUGCGAUGC
rnacentral:lncRNA from 1 species